rnacentral:rRNA from 1 species
UACAGAGGGGGCAAGCGUUAUUCGGAAUUAUUGGGCGUAAAGGGCGCGUAGGCGGCUUGGCAAGUGGAUGGUGAAAUCCCUCGGCUUAACCGAGGAACUGCCGUCCAAACUGCUUUGCUUGAGACCGGGAGAGGUGAGUGGAAUUCCCAGUGUAGCGGUGAAAUGCGUAGAUAUUGCUCGGAAGGCCGGAGCCGAAGGGGCCCCACUGGUACGUAACUGACGCUGAGGCACGAAAGCGUGGGGAGCAAACAGG